rnacentral:lncRNA from 1 species
CGAGAUCUAGUUAUUUUUAAAUGUAAUGUGGUUGUAUCUUAACUCUGACAUAUUGUUGUAGCUAUUAUGUUACAAUUUAUGAUAGCAUAAAACAGUCAAAUAAAAAUGUAAAUUUGUUACAUCGAUACAUUAGUAAUAAACGAAAAUGUUGUCAAAAAUACAGUCACAGUUAAAACCAGUUUCAAAAAAAAAAAAAAUACAGUCACAGUUAUUAUUAUUACUAAUUAGUGACUCAUAAUUAGUCACUUUUAUAGUCGUAAAUUGAUACUCUGUAUUAUGUCACAGUUACAUAACUAAUUUGCAACUAACAAUGGUUACAAUACAGUCACAAUUGUUACUGUGUUUAUUUCCGUCACAACUUUGUAUCAAGUUGAAACGAACUUUUACUACGUUUUAUUCCGUCUCACUAUUAUAACGAAAC